GUUUGAUCAUGGCUCAGAAUGAACGCUGGCGGCAUGCUAACACAUGCAAGUCGAACGAAGCCUUCGGGCUUAGUGGCGCACGGGUGGCUAACGCGUGGGAAUCUACCCUUCGGUUCGGAAUAACAGUUAGAAAUGACUGCUAAUACCGGAUGAUGACGUAAGUCCAAAGAUUUAUCGCCCAGGGAUGAGCCCGCGUAGGAUUAGCUAGUUGGUGAGGUAAAAGCUCACCAAGGCGACGAUCCUUAGCUGGUCUGAGAGGAUGAUCAGCCACACUGGGACUGAGACACGGCCCAGACUCCUACGGGAGGCAGCAGUGGGGAAUAUUGGACAAUGGGCGAAACUGAUCCAGCAAUGCCGCGUGAGUGAUGAAGGCCUUAGGGUUGUAAAGCUCUUUUACCCGGGAUGAUAAUGACAGUACCGGGAGAAUAAGCUCCGGCUAACUCCGUGCCAGCAGCCGCGGUAAUACGGAGGGAGCUAGCGUUAUUCGGAAUUACUGGGCGUAAAGCGCACGUAGGCGGCUUUGUAAGUUAGAGGUGAAAGCCUGGAGCUCAACUCCAGAACUGCCUUUAAGACUGCAUCGCUUGAAUCCUGGAGAGGUGAGUGGAAUUCCGAGUGUAGAGGUGAAAUUCGUAGAUAUUCGGAAGACACCAGUUGGCGAAGCGGCUCACUUGGACAGGUAUUUGACGCUGAGGUGCGAAACGUGGGGGGAGCAAACAGGAUUAGAUACCCUGGUAGUCCACGCCGUUAAACGAUGAUAACUAGCUGUCGGGACACUUGGUGUCUGGGU
rnacentral:rRNA from 1 species